rnacentral:rRNA from 1 species
GGGGAUAACGUUCCGAAAGGGACGCUAAUACCGCAUGACAUCCUGUCCUUGAACGGACGGUGAUCAAAAAAAGCUAGGACGCAAGACCUAGCACUCGAAGAGGGGCCCGCGUCCGAUUAGCUAGUUGGUGAGGUAACGGCUCACCAAGGCAACGAUCGGUAGCCGGCCUGAGAGGGCGGACGGCCACACUGGGACUGAGACACGGCCCAGACUCCUACGGGAGGCAGCAGUGGGGAAUUGUUCGCAAUGGGCGC